rnacentral:rRNA from 1 species
AACGAACGCUGGCGGCAUGCCUAACACAUGCAAGUCGAACGAGACCUUCGGGUCUAGUGGCGCACGGGUGCGUAACGCGUGGGAACCUGCCCUUAGGUUCGGAAUAACUCCCCGAAAGGGGUGCUAAUACCGGAUAAUGUCUUCGGACCAAAGAUUUAUCGCCUUUGGAUGGGCCCGCGUUGGAUUAGCUAGUUGGUAGGGUAAAAGCCUACCAAGGCGACGAUCCAUAGCUGGUCUGAGAGGAUGAUCAGCCACACUGGGACUGAGGCACGGCCCAGACUCCUACGGGAGGCAGCAGUGGGGAAUAUUGGACAAUGGGCGAAAGCCUGAUCCAGCAAUGCCGCGUGAGUGAUGAAGGCCUUAGGGUUGUAAAGCUCUUUUACCCGGGAUGAUAAUGACAGUACCGGGAGAAUAAGCUCCGGCCAACUCCGUG